ensembl:miRNA
UAGGUAGGUGCAAAAGUAAUUGUGGUUUUUGCCACUGAAAGUAAUGGCAAAAACUGCCAUUACUUUUGUACCAAACUAAUA